AUCUGUGACACAGUCAUAAUUGAAGUGUUUACACAAUGUUAACAUUUACAUUGGUGUUUGGAUUAAUUGCAGGUAAGGACUAUUUGCUGUAGACAAAAUAAUAGUAUACCAUGUAGGAUUUUAUAGUAAGAUAAAAUGGUGGUGUUUACGUUUUCGAAUAGACUAUAAUCCUUUCCUAUAUUCCUUGAUUCAUGGAGUUUGUUGUCAGUGUGAUUCAUCCCUUUGAAAGUUUUACAGCUGUCAUUACGAGUUGGUUGAUCUUUAUUGAAUAUAUUUGUCACAGAUGAACUAAAUAUUCUUGAAUUGUCGUGAACACGUUCCCGCUCUCUUUUCGUUGGUUGUGACAUCCAUGAAUGCAGCUUAUAACAUAACUCAGUUUUAAUGUGAUCAACGCAAACCAUUGCACAUCUGUAACAUGAUCUGAAUCUUGGGCCUUACGAUCACAUACCUGCCAAAUGUCACUAUUUGCGGGGGAUUUCCCCCAUGGAGGCUCCCAAAUUGAAAUUUUGAAAGAGCAAUUUUGUCCACAAUUUUUAACAAAACAAUUAAUUUUACAAUGAUUUGAGGCUUAUAAAAGUAUGGAGAAGCCAAAAAACAACAUUUAAAUGUAUUUGAAGGACCCCUUCAAGAUUUUUUAGGACUAUGACAGCCAUCUUGCACGCAAAACCCCCAUGGGCAUUUUGAAAAGUUGGCAGGUAUGCGAUCACAUUAUAAUUUUUUAUUGAUGUUGCUCAAUUCUAUUUUUCUGUGCAUUGAUUGUUUGCUUUUCGUUGUUAUUCGCAUAUUGCCAUGGUUUUAUCUGAUCUCUUAGUUGUCCACAUCCUUUGUUAUCUUUUGCUUCUUUUUUAUCAUUCGUAUCUUCCUAAACUAUGUUACGUUAUGCAUGUAACACAAUUUCAAUGUCCUGUCGUUUAUUUUGUAUGUGAUUAUAUAUUAUACAUUCAGCUGUAGCUAUGACGUGCUUUUAUAACACAAAUAUUGAGUACACAUGUUUCCUUUUGAUUUCUGCAGAGAGUAAUUUUUGCACUUGUAAAUAAAUUGCGGUUCUAAAACAGCAAUAAUUUUUAUGAUCUUAAUUUCGUCUGAAAAGUCGGAUUAAUUAGUUAUCAACUCAUGGUCAGUCUUUUUAUGAGGGUUCAGUUCCUCCGUAAAUGUUCAGAUUGAUUGGCAGCUGUUUUUUUCAGUAUUAACAAGUAAUUUUUGAAACAAUUCAGUAUGUUCAAAUGUUGUCGAUGGUUUUUACAAAUAACAGAUCGUUCUGAACAUAGACUGAGCAUAACUUUGUUGGUUGCAAGCGAAUGGUUUGUAGUUUUAGAUUUACCGCAGUGGAUACACAUAUCAAACUCACGAUGAGUUAAUAAUUUAUUGACAAUUCUUUCAUGAGAUGACCAGAUCAAAGUAACCGUUCCCGACUGACUUGAUUUCUAGUAUUUUGUUUUGUUAAGGUGUGUUCUGAAUUUCAGAUAAAUAACAUAAUUUUGUAGACGAGAGUCGAAAAGGGGGACUUUAAGACUUAUAAGUAAAAAAAACCAACCAACAUCUUAGCACAAUGAACAAAAAUUAAAAGAUCAUAAAAUACAAACAGAAGUAUAAAAACAGAUACAUAGAACUAAAGACUAAGGGAUACAUGCCAACACAAAUAUCAUGACUAUUAGGUUAUCUGGAAAUACAUCUAAAUGCUUUCGAAAAUAAGAUAAAUGUUAGUACCGAUAAAAACAAUAUUCAGAUAUUUUACUUCUAUCUUGAUUUGAUAAAUUUUGAGAAUAAGUUUAUACGAAAGGUCAAUUAGUUAACAUCGGUGGUUUCGAUAUUUACGCACAACAUCAUCGUUGAGAUUAGGUUGAGAUAUUCCGUUUAGGAUAACGUCUCUACAGGUACAGUCAAUAUCCCUAACUUAAACUUUAUCCAUGCAGGUUUUUGUUAAUGUGUGGUACCGAAAUCCUGACAAAUAAAUUAUCAAUUAUACAUAAAUUACGGUCACUGAAAUGUAAAGCGCGACUACUGACAAGGACAUUGCGAACACGUUGUAAGUGUACACAAUAAAAGAAGGACCAUCUCCGUCUAAAAAGUGUAUUAUAGCAAUCGAAUACGAAAAUCGUUUCUUUUGUUUUGAUUUUUGUUUAGAGUUGCCCCUUCAGCAAUUGAUAUACUGGAAAUUAGGACAGUUAGUCCUACUUAAAAAGGAUCUAUUUAGAGUAAGUUUCUUUGGAUACAUAUCUGCUAACUUUCCUUGUUUAAAAGGAGAUGGUAGAGUGAAUAUAAAUAAUGCAAUUGCGUGACAAUAUUUUGAUCUUCAAUUUUUUUGGGGUAUUUAUUUGGAUGUAACAUCUGUGCAGUACUUUUAAACACUAUUUGUCUAAGCUAAGAGGAAGUAACAAAAAUUAUUAUUCGCUAUGGCUGUCAAUAAUUUGUGUGAAAACUUAUAUCAAAUAAAAGGCGGUAGAUACCAAGAUGACAUUUAAAACUCGAAAGUCGAGAUAAAUUGACAACGUUAUGGUGGGGGACACAACGACAAAAAAAACGUGUGUAUGAGAAAAUUAUGAUUGAACAAAAUCCAACAGCUACAAUUAUUUGUUUAUUAAAAGCUUGCUUUUACAGGUGCACUCUGUAUCCCUCCACCAACUAGGGAAGAAGAUGCUUUAAUGAAUUUACUUUCGUAAGUGUAUUUUUAGUAUUUGUCUAUGUCUAAACUACUAAGUUUCUGAUCUAUUAUUCCAGGUCAUAUCCCCCUAUAUUCGUUAACAAAUGUCUUGUUUCAUUGACAUGUAUGAGAUUUUGUUUAUCCGAAACAUAACUUAGUCAUUGUGUUUACUAUGAAAGCGCAUUGCAACAUUGGUUUUAAUUUUCAUUUGUGGAGUUACACAUAAAUGUUUUUUUGAAAGGAACAAAAUUUGUAAUUUUUUUUUAAAACAUUAAUAAUCAGUAAACAAAUAAUCCCCAUUCAGACAUACAUACAAUGACAAAACCAACAAAAGAGACAACGACGGCGAAGCGAAACACAAAUUAAAGAGCAAAAAAACCUACAUGAAUGUAAUAGGAUAUUCAUUCAACGAUUAUUUCUGUAAUGUUGACAAUUUUAAAAUGACCAAAACUAUUUUUGCUUGUGGAAAUAAAAAAAUAUAAUGUACAAAUGUAUAGACUUGCAUAAGUUUUAAUUAAUUUCUUUAAAAAGUGACAGUACAGUACGGACGACAGGAUAUUCACAUUUCCUUGGUUUUUACUUAUAUAUUUAUAUGUCCAAUGGUGCUUAUUAUUCAUAUUAUUUUAUCUAAUAAAUAUCUCAUUGAUAUUCAGACCUGAACAAUUUACCAAGUUUACAUCAGAGUCCAAACAUCCACUUCCAGCUCAUUCGACAAGAACAUCUUUCAAACAUAAAUAUGUAUAUUGCAAUGGUGGGAUUGCAGAUUAUAAAUCAGGAACAACUAUUGAUAUAACAGCAACGACAUCCGUGUCUGGUACAGCUCAUACCAAGG
rnacentral:lncRNA from 1 species